GAAUCUGUCAUUUGGUUUGGGACAACAUUGGGAAACCGAUGCUAAUACCGGAUGUGCCGAGAGGUGAAAGAGAAAUUGCCAGAUGGUGAGCUCGCGUCAGAUUAGCUAGUUGGUGGGGUAAAGGCCUACCAAGGCGACGAUCUGUAGCUGGUCUGAGAGGACGAUCAGCCACACUGGAACUGAGACACGGUCCAGACUCCUACGGGAGGCAGCAGUGGGGAAUUUUCCGCAAUGGGCGAAAGCCUGACGGAGCAAUACCGCGUGAGGGAGGAAGGCUCUUGGGUCGUAAACCUCUUUUCUCUAGGAAGAUAAUGACGGUACUAGAGGAAUAAGCAUCGGCUAACUCCGUGCCAGCAGCCGCGGUAAUACGGAGGAUGCAAGCGUUAUCCGGAAUGAUUGGGCGUAAAGCGUCCGCAGGUGGUUAUGUAAGUCUGCGGUUAAAGAGUGGGGCUUAACUCCAUAAGGGCCGUGGAAACUACAAGACUAGAGUAGGUUAGGGGCAGAGGGAAUUCCCAGUGUAGCGGUGAAAUGCGUAGAGAUUGGGAAGAACACCGGUGGCGAAAGCGCUCUGCUAGGACAAUACUGACACUGAGGGACGAAAGCUAGGGGAGCG
rnacentral:rRNA from 1 species